rnacentral:lncRNA from 1 species
AGUCCGGCUGCUCGCGGGCGCGCGAGUUCGACCGACGCGUUAGAAGGAGGUGCCUUGCGAAGCCGGGCUGCGACCUUAGGGGUCGCCGUGCUCUGGCGUGUGACUCGAAAGUCAGCCUGCAGGCGGGGUCCAAGGUUAGGGCGCGGUAGACUUGACCCGCUUUCCUCAAACUCUGUUAAUGCCAGAACCCGGAUAAUCUCAACUUGGUAAAGAUGGCAGGAAGCCUAGCAAAAAGCUGGAGGACGUCGGGAAGAGAAUAGAUGAGAACAGUCCCCUCGGGGACGGGGAAGGCAAAAACACGAGUGUCCCCCCCUCUCACCCCGAGUUUUAGUAUUUCUCAUUAUAAAAGUAAUAUUAAAAGUAUAUAGACAGAAAAUAUAGAAAGGAAGGAGGAAAUGACUCAUCCUACCGCCCGCACACAACUAGCGUCACGGUUUUGCGCGACAGUAUUGCCUCCUGACUUUUUAAUUGCAUUUUUAUAUUCGUGUUAUCAUUUUGACGCACAAUUUUAAGACAUUUUUAUUGUAGAAAAUUUCAAGAUACACAGAAGUGGAAUAACCCGAUGAAGCCGCGUAGAGUCGCUCUCCGACCUCAGCAGUUACGCGACUCAUGGGGCAAUCUUGUUUCCUCUAUUUC